GACGUAGGGCGCGAGCGUUGUCCGGAUUUAUUGGGCGUAAAGAGCUCGUAGGCGGCUUGUCGCGUCGACUGUGAAAACCCGUGGCUCAACCAUGUGGUCUGCAGUCGAUACGGGCAGGCUAGAAUUCGGUAGGGGAGACUGGAAUUCCUGGUGUAGCGGUGAAAUGCGCAGAUAUCAGGAGGAACACCGGUGGCGAAGGCGGGUCUCUGGGCCGAUAUUGACGCUGAGGAGCGAAAAGCGUGGGGAGCGAACAGG
rnacentral:rRNA from 1 species